UGGCUCAGGAUUAACGCUAGCGACAGGCCUAACACAUGCAAGUCGAGGGGCAUCGGGGCGAGGAGCAAUCCUUGCCGCCGGCGACCGGCGCACGGGUGAGUAACGCGUAUGCGACCUGCCCGUUGCAGGGGGAUAAUCGGGAGAAAUCCCGUCUAAUACCGCGUAACGCCGCGGGGCUGCAUGGCCCUGCGGCCAAAGGGAGCGAUUCCGGCAACGGAUGGGCAUGCGUGACAUUAGCUAGUUGGCGGGGCAACGGCCCACCAAGGCGACGAUGUCUAGGGGUUCUGAGAGGAAGGUCCCCCACACUGGUACUGAGACACGGACCAGACUCCUACGGGAGGCAGCAGUGAGGAAUAUUGGUCAAUGGGCGCGAGCCUGAACCAGCCAAGUCGCGUGAGGGAUGACGGCCCUACGGGUUGUAAACCUCUUUUGUCGGGGAGCAAAUUCCGCCACGUGUGGCGGAGUCGAGAGUACCCGAAGAAAAAGCAUCGGCUAACUCCGUGCCAGCAGCCGCGGUAAUACGGAGGAUGCGAGCGUUAUCCGGAUUUAUUGGGUUUAAAGGGUGCGUAGGCGGACUGUCAAGUCAGCGGUAAAAUACGGGGGCUCAACCUCCGCCCGCCGUUGAAACUGACGGUCUUGAGUGGGCGAGAAGUAUGCGGAAUGCGUGGUGUAGCGGUGAAAUGCAUAGAUAUCACGCAGAACUCCGAUUGCGAAGGCAGCAUACCGGCGCCCAACUGACGCUGAAGCACGAAAGCGUGGGUAUCGAACAGGAUUAGAUACCCUGGUAGUCCACGCAGUAAACGAUGAAUACUAGCUGUCCGGGGCGAAUGAGCCCUGGGUGCACAGCGAAAGCGUUAAGUAUUCCACCUGGGGAGUACGCCGGCAACGGUGAAACUCAAAGGAAUUGACGGGGGCCCGCACAAGCGGAGGAACAUGUGGUUUAAUUCGAUGAUACGCGAGGAACCUUACCCGGGCUCAAACGACACAGGAACGUACCUGAAAGGGUUCGGCUCUACGGAGCCUGUGUCGAGGUGCUGCAUGGUUGUCGUCAGCUCGUGCCGUGAGGUGUCGGCUUAAGUGCCAUAACGAGCGCAACCCCCAUCGACAGUUGCUAACAGGUUAGGCUGAGGACUCUGUCGAGACUGCCGGCGCAAGCUGCGAGGAAGGCGGGGAUGACGUCAAAUCAGCACGGCCCUUACGUCCGGGGCGACACACGUGUUACAAUGGCAGGUACAGCGGGAAGCCACCUGGCGACAGGGAGCGGAACCCGAAAGCCUGUCUCAGUUCGGAUUGGAGUCUGCAACCCGACUCCAUGAAGCUGGAUUCGCUAGUAAUCGCGCAUCAGCCACGGCGCGGUGAAUACGUUCCCGGGCCUUGUACACACCGCCCGUCAAGCCAUGGAAGCCGGGGGUGCCUGAAGUGCGCUGCCGCGAGGAGCGCCCUAGGGUAAAACCGGUGACUGGGGCUAAGUCGUAACAAGGUA
rnacentral:rRNA from 1 species